rnacentral:rRNA from 1 species
AGUGAACGCUGGCGGUAGGCCUAACACAUGCAAGUCGAACGGCAGCACAGUAAGAGCUUGCUCUUACGGGUGGCGAGUGGCGGACGGGUGAGGCAUACAUCGGAAUCUACUUUUUCGUGGGGGAUAACGUAGGGAAACUUACGCUAAUACCGCAUACGACCUACGGGUGAAAGCAGGGGAUCUUCGGACCUUGCGCGACUGAAUGAGCCGAUGUCGGAUUAGCUAGUUGGCGGGGUAAAGGCACACCAAGGCGACGAUCCGUAGCUGGUCUGAGAGGAUGAUCAGCCACACUGGAACUGAGACACGGUCCAGACUCCUACGGGAGGCAGCAGUGGGGAAUAUUGGACAAUGGGCGCAAGCCUGAUCCAGCCAUACCGCGUGAGUGAAGAAGGCCUUCGGGUUGUAAAGCCCUUUUGUUGGGAAAGAAAAGCAGCAGGUUAAUACCCCGCUGUUCUGACGGUACCCAAAGAAUAAGCACCGGCUAACUUCGUG